UACGUAGGGGGCAAGCGUUGUCCGGAAUUAUUGGGCGUAAAGAGCUCGUAGGCGGUUCGUCGCGUCGGCUGUGAAAUCCCCGAGGCUCAACCUCGGGUCUGCAGUCGAUACGGGCGGACUGGAGUUCGGCAGGGGAGACUGGAAUUCCUGGUGUAGCGGUGAAAUGCGCAGAUAUCAGGAAGAACACCCGUGGCUAAGGCGGCUCUCUAGUACGGUACUGACGCUGAGACGCGAAAGCGUGGGGAGCGAACAGG
rnacentral:rRNA from 1 species